rnacentral:rRNA from 1 species
UACGAAGGGGGCUAGCGUUGCUCGGAAUCACUGGGCGUAAAGCGCACGUAGGCGGAUUGUUAAGUCAGGGGUGAAAUCCUGGAGCUCAACUCCAGAACUGCCUUUGAUACUGGCGAUCUCGAGUCCGGAAGAGGUGAGUGGAACUGCGAGUGUAGAGGUGAAAUUCGUAGAUAUUCGCAAGAACACCAGUGGCGAAGGCGGCUCACUGGCCCGGUACUGACGCUGAGGUGCGGAAAGCGUGGGGAGCAACAGGGAUUAAGAU